AAGUGAUCUGUUGAGAGAUGCAAAAGGAGUGAAACAGCAAAAACUGAGAAAGUUAAUUUCGUCAGGACACCCAGUGACCCAGAAGGAAGGGAUUGUUUUGAUAUCAAAACAAUUCAACCUUCCUGCAGUAAACUAAAGCCUGACAAGAUUCAUUUAAGAGGCUGAUGGAAACAGAAAUAUUGUGUUAGAGACUUCUGUACCAAAUCCAUAUGGAAUUCACCUUUACAACCUACUUGAAUAAGACGUUGAACAGAAGAACCUCAUCUAGUCUCGUCAUCACUCUCAUCUGUGUUGGCUGCAGAGCUAAAGUUGGAAUGUCUGUUGUUCAAUCUCCAACGUGAAAGACCAGUCAUUGGAGAUUCUUUGAAUUCAGACAAUGUUCGAGUCAGAGCUCAUAGAUAUCCUUUACCAGCAGCACUACUACAGAUUAUUGCAACGAAACAAAAGGCUGAAACAACUAAAGGGAAUCUAAUCAUAUUUCUUUUUAUCUUACUCUAAUGAUGCAUUGUUUAAACUAUUUGUGAUUCUGAUUCAGGUGGACCGGCCUCAGAAUUAUUGCUCAUUGAUUGGGCUGAAAGGAUUGAAUGGCAAGGCAUACCAAGCACUUCGAAUACUUUGAUUUCAUUAGGCCUACUUUCAAUUUAAACUUUCAUUUCAUGUAAAUUUUCAAAAGAUGUUGAAUAAAUUGUGUAUUGAAUUA